rnacentral:rRNA from 1 species
CAGUCGUACCGGUGGGUAAUCAGCCUUUCGGCGUGAUUAUGUGGAGCGUGGGGAGUCAAACGCCCUCAUGCCUGCAUAUUCGUGUUCUUUGGGUGUACUUACCCGCAUGGUAGGUUAACAUCAAUUUCGAACGACAAAAAAUGGUUGGAGGAAUGUAGCUUCGAUCUCGUAUUGAAGUGUUAUAGCCUUCGGCAGAUGUGAUGAUUGGGAUUGAGGAUUGCAACGGAUACCCCUCGGGCUACCCGUCUGAUCUCUGAAAGUUACUCUGGUGCCCGAAAGAUCGCUUACGGUCAUCAAAGUUGACGUUCAACAGGUUAGAACGGGAUAAA